UACGGAGGGUGCGAGCGUUGUCCGGAAUCAUUGGGCGUAAAGGGCGCGUAGGUGGCACGGUAAGCGUGCGGUGAAAGCUCGGGGCUCAACCCCGAGUCGGCCGUGCGAACUGCUGGGCUUGAGCACUGUAGAGGCAGGCGGAAUUCCGGGUGUAGCGGUGGAAUGCGUAGAGAUCCGGAAGAACACCGGUGGCGAAGGCGGCCUGCUGGGCAGUUGCUGACACUGAGGCGCGACAGCGUGGGUAGCAAAUGG
rnacentral:rRNA from 1 species